rnacentral:rRNA from 1 species
ACACAUGCAAGUCGAGGGGCAGCAUCAUCAAAGCUUGCUUUGAUGGAUGGCGACCGGCGCACGGGUGAGUAACACGUAUCCAACCUGCCGACAACACUGGGAUAGCCUUUCGAAAGAAAGAUUAAUACCGGAUGGCAUAAUUAUUCCGCAUGGGAUAAUUAUUAAAGAAUUUCGGUUGUCGAUGGGGAUGCGUUCCAUUAGGCAGUUGGCGGGGUAACGGCCCACCAAACCUACGAUGGAUAGGGGUUCUGAGAGGAAGGUCCCCCACAUUGGAACUGAGACACGGUCCAAACUCCUACGGGAGGCAGCAGUGAGGAAUAUUGGUCAAUGGACGAGAGUCUGAACCAGCCAAGUAGCGUGAAGGAUGACUGCCCUAUGGGUUGUAAACUUCUUUUAUACGGGAAUAAAGUUAGCCACGUGUGGCUUUUUGUAUGUACCGUACGAAUAAGGAUCGGCUAACUCCGUGCCAGCAGCCGCGGUAAUACGGAGGAUCCGAGCGUUAUCCGGAUUUAUUGGGUUUAAAGGGAGCGUAGGCGGGUUGUUAAGUCAGUUGUGAAAGUUUGCGGCUCAACCGUAAAAUUGCAGUUGAUACUGGCGACCUUGAGUGCAACAGAGGUAGGCGGAAUUCGUGGUGUGGCGGUGAAAUGCUUAGAUAUCACGAAGAACUCCGAUUGCGAAGGCAGCUUACUGGAUUGUAACUGACGCUGAUGCUCGAAAGUGUGGGUAUCAAACAGGAUUAGAUACCCUGGUAGUCCACACAGUAAACGAUGAAUACUCGCUGUUGGCGAUAUACGGUCAGCGGCCAAGCGAAAGCAUUAAGUAUUCCACCUGGGGAGUACGCCGGCAACGGUGAAACUCAAAGGAAUUGACGGGGGCCCGCACAAGCGGAGGAACAUGUGGUUUAAUUCGAUGAUACGCGAGGAACCUUACCCGG